CAUGGGAUGAUUUUUCAAAAGCAGUGAGUCAAGCUCUGACAAAUCAUUUCCAGGCAAUCUCUUCUGAUGGAUGGUGGAGUCUGGAAGACGUGACUUGCAAUAACACCACUGAUUCCAACAUCGGCCUCAGUGCAAGAAGCAUACGAUCCAUCACGCUAGGAAAUGUGCCGUGGUCAGUGGGUCAGAGCUUCGCGCAGUCCCCGUGGGACUUUAUGAGGAAGAAUAAGGCAGAGCACAUCACUGUGCUUUUGUCAGGUCCUCAAGAAGGCUGUCUCAGUAGUGUGACUUAUGCCUCCAUGAUCCCUCUCCAGAUGAUGCAGAACUACCUCAGGCUGAUGGGGAAACUGAACAGAGAGAGGUAAAAUGCUCAAAGUCAUGCAUCUAGCAAGUGAUGAAGCCAGGAUUGUGCAAGUCUCUGAUGUGUAUGAGAUCAAUCUGAAACUAAUACUACUGGUAUAAAACAUUAAACAUAAUUUUGCUUGCUGCCUUAAUUUCGAUGACCUUUUUAAAUAAAUGAGUUGGAACUAUGA
rnacentral:lncRNA from 10 species